AUUGAACGCUGGCGGCAGGCUUAACACAUGCAAGUCGAGCGGAGAUGAGGUGCUUGCACCUUAUCUUAGCGGCGGACGGGUGAGUAAUGCUUAGGAAUCUGCCUAUUAGUGGGGGACAACAUUCCGAAAGGAAUGCUAAUACCGCAUACGUCCUACGGGAGAAAGCAGGGGAUCUUCGGACCUUGCGCUAAUAGAUGAGCCUAAGUCGGAUUAGCUAGUUGGGGGGGUAAAGGCCUACCAAGGCGACGAUCUGUAGCGGGUCUGAGAGGAUGAUCCGCCACACUGGGACUGAGACACGGCCCAGACUCCUACGGGAGGCAGCAGUGGGGAAUAUUGGACAAUGGGCGGAAGUCUGAUCCAGCCAUGCCGCGUGUGUGAAGAAGGCCUUAUGGUUGUAAAGCACUUUAAGCGAGGAGGAGGCUACUUUAGUUAAUACCUAGAGAUAGUGGACGUUACUCGCAGAAUAAGCACCGGCUAACUCUGUGCCAGCAGCCGCUGUAACAC
rnacentral:rRNA from 1 species